rnacentral:rRNA from 1 species
UACGGAGGGGGCGAGCGUUAUUCGGAAUUAUUGGGCGUAAAGGGCGCGUAGGCGGCCUGACAAGUCAAAGGUGAAAUCCCUCGGCUCAACUGAGGAACUGCCUUUGAAACUGUCAGGCUUGAGGCCGGGAGGGGGUAGCGGAAUUCCCAGUGUAGCGGUGAAAUGCGUAGAUAGUGGGAGGAACACCAGUGGAGAAGGCGGCUACCUGGACCGGUACUGACGCUGAUGCGCGAAAGCGUGGGUAGCAAACAGG